rnacentral:rRNA from 1 species
AGUGAACGCUGGCGGUAGGCCUAACACAUGCAAGUCGAACGGCAGCACAGUAAGAGCUUGCUCUUACGGGUGGCGAGUGGCGGACGGGUGAGGAAUACAUCGGAAUCUACUUUUUCGUGGGGGAUAACGUAGGGAAACUUACGCUAAUACCGCAUACGACCUACGGGUGAAAGCAGGGGAUCUUCGCACCUUGCGCGAUUGAAUGAGCCGAUGUCGGAUUAGCUAGUUGGCGGGGUAAAGGCCCACCAAGGCGACGAUCCGUAGCUGGUCUGAGAGGAUGGUCAGCCACACUGGAACUGAGACACGGUCCAGACUCCUACGGGAGGCAGCAGUGGGGAAUAUUAGACAAUGGGGGCAAGCCUGGUCCAGCCAUACCGCGUGGGUGAAGAAGGCCUUCGGGUUGUAAAGCCCUUUUGUUGGGAAAGAAAAGCAGCAGGUUAAUACCCCGCUGUUCUGACGGUACCCAAAGAAUAAGCACCGGCUAACUUCGUG